GAUGGAUUAGAUAAGCAGAUUCAACUUACACAAAAGGAAAUAUCAAAAUACGAGGAUGAAGCUUACAAUGAGGAACGCGGUGCUGUUGACCUCGAAGACCGAGCUAGCGAUCUUCGACGUAAAUCAGAGAGAACAUAAAGAAAAGGGAUGGCUAUGGGGCGUUGGAUCACUGUUAGUUGGAAUAGUAUUUGUACCAUUUACAUUGGGUGCUUCACUCGGAGCAGGGUUGGUAUCUGCAGGUGUUGGCAUGGCCGUGAACUUUGAUGACGCCAAUGAUUGUGAGCGUACUGCUGCAAGCCUUAAAGUUAGUGCACGGGAUAAGAAGGAACUGGCUCAAAGAAAGCGGAAUUUAAAGGCAGAGUAAUGAAUCAAAAAAGUGCACGAAAACAAUCGAGCUUAGAAAUUGCAGAACAAAAAUUGACCAUCUGGCAAGGACGUGUGAUGGGCUAGCCAGCCUUGAAGGACUUCUGACAGAGUCAAUAUCAAGGCUUCGAAACGUGCCAUUUAUAUUGCA